rnacentral:rRNA from 1 species
AGCGAACGCUGGCGGCAGGCUUAACACAUGCAAGUCGAGCGGGCGUAGCAAUACGUCAGCGGCAGACGGGUGAGUAACGCGUGGGAACGUACCUUUUGGUUCGGAACAACACAGGGAAACUUGUGCUAAUACCGGAUAAGUCCUUACGGGGAAAGAUUUAUCGCCGAAAGAUCGGCCCGCGUCUGAUUAGCUUGUUGGUGAGGUAACGGCUCACCAAGGCGACGAUCAGUAGCUGGUCUGAGAGGAUGAUCAGCCACAUUGGGACUGAGACACGGCCCAAACUCCUACGGGAGGCAGCAGUGGGGAAUAUUGGACAAUGGGGGAAACCCUGAUCCAGCCAUGCCGCGUGAGUGAUGAAGGCCCUAGGGUUGUAAAGCUCUUUUGUGCGGGAAGAUAAUGACGGUACCGCAAGAAUAAGCCCCGGCUAACUCGUGCCAGCAGCCGCGGUAAU